AUUUAGACGUGGCCGACGCGGGUCAAAGCAUUGUAUUUGUUCUUAUCAGCGUAAUAUCUGGUACGGGUUCUGUUUAGAUCCAAGAUACCCAACUUAUUUUUGCAAGUUGACGGAGGGUUUGAAGCCUGCUUUACUUCCGCGGCGGGUCGGACCGUUAUUGCGCUACUGGGAUGAGCCCACAGUUC